rnacentral:rRNA from 1 species
AUACGGAGGGGGCUAGCGUUGUUCGGAAUUACUGGGCGUAAAGCGCGCGUAGGCGGGCUGGUUAGUUGGGGGUGAAAUCCCAGGGCUCAACCCUGGAACUGCCUCUAAAACUGCUGGUCUUGAGUUCGAGAGAGGUGAGUGGAAUUCCGAGUGUAGAGGUGAAAUUCGUAGAUAUUCGGAGGAACACCAGUGGCGAAGGCGGCUCACUGGCUCGAUACUGACGCUGAGGUGCGAAAGCGUGGGGAGCAAACAGGAUUAGAAACCCCAGUAGUCC